rnacentral:lncRNA from 1 species
CAGUAGAAGAUGCCAAUUUAAAUAAACUGCUGCAUUCCUGAGACACAGGGCAGGAAAUGAAAGCUAUUGAACUCCUCAAGACCAAGAGACUAUUGUGAAAGAGGUUUCUCCAUCUUGCUGGUAGUGAACUGAUGUCCGGAAGUUUGAUGGCCGAAGAGUAUACCGUUGUGCAUAUAUCCUUCAAUUCCUGAUUUUAUCAUCUGUAGAAAGACAAAAAUCUUCAGACUGAUUUCCACAGUUUGAGAUCUAGUUUGCAUUACCUCCAAGAGAAUAGCCAUGUUUGCUUUUCUCUGCUGCCACACCAGCAUGUUAUGUUUUGACUUAGGACAAAUGGCCACUCUGACCAGCGUGUGAUGGCACCGGUACCUCAUCUCUGAUGAUUGGUGAUGUUGAGCAUUCCCCACGCCUGUUGGAAUGGCAAUCCCUUGGAAAUGUCUUCUCAAUAGUUACUACCCAUAGGUAUGUUGCUCAGGCCACUGUGUGGCCCCAGCACUUGGUUUGCAUAGGGACUUGGGGAUUGUUUGUCAUCAUUAGCCGGGACAAAUGUUACACUGCUGUUCCUACAGUGAGUAGUGGGAGUGGCGUAUGGGGGCAUAUGCUUAUGUCCACAGUUCCAUCAGAAAUCCCACUGCCUUAAGACAGUCUUACGGAAACCGAGUCCCAGCCUUGCAGCACCGGGUAGCCCUGUGGCAUUUUGACAUUGAGUGUGUCUGCAUUGUUGAAGUCACUCAGCAUGUUGCCAUGCGUUUAUCCACUUAGGUCAACGUUAAGGGAAGUUCAUCGCCUCUGCUUCUUCAGUAACUGAUGUCUGGUGCAUCAACUGAAUGCAUUUCAGGCUUUUCAGCAGUUCCCCCAGAUCUAUGGGUAAAAAAAGGUUUUCACCAUGCCCACCUCCCCAGUGAGUGACCAAUGUCUCAUUGUUAAUGCAUCUGAUGCACAGAGUUUAGUGGUCUGAGGGAGGUCAGUCGCCAAGCGGAGAUUGAAAUCACAUUUGUAUUUACAUUAUUACUUUUCUACAGUUUGGUUUGUUGCAGGCUUUCACACUACUAAUCUGGGCUGAAUCCUUGAAUUACUUUGUCUACCAAGGGUUUCAAAGAACUUGAUAAACUUGUUCUAAUUAGCCAACAUAUUCAUCCAUGUUGUCCGUAUACCAGGUGUAAAAAUAAAACGUUUCUUAAUGCACACAGGACAUGGAAGGCAAUCUACACAUUUUCAGGUGUAGACUUUGCUUGUGACUCUUUUGUGAGGAAUAGUCAUUGUUACUUUAGGAAAACCCUGAGUUUAUCCAACUCUUGUUAGAAUUGGAUAAGUGUAAAAACCUACAAUAGAAUGCAAGUGUGAGAGCCAAUUCCUCUGGUAAAAUAAACUCAUAUUAUUAUUUAUAUAUGUCUGGUCAUUGUAUUAAUAAAAUCAGUUUGUUUUGGCUGAAACACAUGGUUGGCCUUUACAAUAGAUGUGAAAAUGGGCUUAUAGAUCAUUGCUCUUUAUUGUGAAUAUUAGGUUGUAUUUAUUGCCAAACUCUUUCAACAGCUUCUAAGCAGUGAAUUUUCAGUGCAUUGUUGUUGUUCUCCAAGUACAAGCAGCCACUUCAGUUUUACCACAUUCAUCUUCCACACACUGAUGAACCAUAUGGAGGCAGCAGGAAUUGAAGUAGAACCAGAGGGAGUAGUUAGGACAGACAUUCUGAUUCAUUCAUUCUGAUUCUCACUAUUGUCAGUCAGUAAAGGUUCAUUGAAUUUUUCUUCUGAUGAAUAAAAUGGUCAGUUUUCUCAGUGCAAUGGCUUACUUUUGGAAGAGCAGCUCUAAAGACUUUACUACUGAUUAGUAAAGUCUAAACUGCUUUCUGUAUUUUUUUUUAAAUUCAACUUUUAUUUUAGACUGAAUAAAAAUGUGCAGGUUUAUUGUGUGAUACUGAGUUUUGGGGUACGAUUGAAGCCAUCACUAAGGUAAUGAGCAUCUCACCUUCUCCUUCUGUUCACUCUGUUACAGAGAACAGACCCUCCCAGUCUUCAGUGCACUCUAAAUACUGGCUAAUUCUGGCCAAUGGAAGGCAUCUGUGGAAGAAAAAAGCCUCAGAUCAUGUGCUGUCUGUCUUUAUUCAGUGUGACAUAUUAGGUAAUGGUCACAGACACUCACCAUGGCCCCAGUUUUUAAUAACAUGACCCUGCUUUUGUGUUCCAGUAACUUCUGUUGUUUUCCCAAUCCUAAGUAUGAUAGAAACUUCCUGCUGCUGCUAAUCUCUGGGUUCCAUUUAAAAUCCUUCCAUCACAUGAAUACUAUGCUGUGUUCUAAAUUUUUCCAUAAUUAAAUACUUACAAUUAUUUUUGCCUACUUCUUUUGCCCCUUAGUGAUAUGUUUUAAAAACACUUAUAAUGUGUCACAAUAUAUUUAGCAAAUGUAGGGAAUGACAUUUUUACUUUCGUCAGCAUUUACACUAGCAUUUAUGGAGCGAUGCUAUAUAAAGUAUUUUUAGUAAUUUAAACGUUAUAUAACAGAUAUCCGUUGAUUCCUUUGUUUCUACGUAAAUAAGUAUACUUGAGAUAUUCAGUAAACAGUAUUGAAUACAUGUUUCAUUUGUAUAAUAUAAAAUUAUGAUUAUUCUUUUUAAACAGUACAUCAUAUUUGCUUGUUGGCUUUAUGAUAACUUAGAAAUAAUAUUCUGGAUUAACUGUGUGACUCAUGAGAAGAUUUGUGCAACUAUGUUUCCAAAUUUACUUGAUUUUCAAGACUUACACUAGAACUGUGAGAACAGGGUAAUAAAUAAGCAUAUGUAUUAAUAUCACCUUUGGUCAACUCUUGGGUAGCCCCAACGGUAGUGUAGGAAUUAACGUAAUUUUUCCUACUAAAAGUAUUGGAUUUGUUUUGAGAGACCACAGUUGAAAAUCAUUGACAUACAAAGUUUAAAAAUUGUUAGGUUAAAAAAUUUUAAAUGCAUUUGAAGUGGUUUUAUAGAAAAAUAAUUAUCUAACUUGGUUUAUAUUGACAGGUUGUUUUCUUGGAUAAGAACUAGACGAAGAGAAAGGGAGAUUAGUGAUAAAUGUCCAGGUUUUCAAGUUGAAAAGUAACAAUCAGUGUAUUACAACAGAUGGAUGUGAUGUCAAAUUACAAAUGCUGAAAACGUUAUAUGUAAUCAUGUAGCCAGAGUAAUCAUACAAGGCAAAGAACGGAAAGGCAUCCAAAUAGGAAAGAGGCUGGAAUGCAGUGGCACCAUCUCAGCUCACUGCAACCUCCGCCUCUGGGUUCAAGUGCUGCUCCUGCCUCAGUCUC